GAAGCACCGCCCCCGGCCGGCAGCUGCGGGCACCCCAGCGCUUCCCGCGCAGGGCGGAGCUGGUGUGAUGUUCGAAGCGAGCGCGGGCCGGUUCCGGUGGGGAUUUCCGUGGGGACUUUUUCGCUGCGUAAGCGCCGGAGCGGUGGUUUCCCUGCCCCGCCGCCCGGCCGGGCGCGGCGCUGGCUGCAGCGCCCGCUUACACCUGCCCUGCAGAGCGCUCUUCAGCGAGCCGGGGACACGCGAGCCAUCCGGCCUCCCCUGAAAACAUCUGGGCCGCCGAGCAAGGACGUUUUCAAGGACGGCAAGUGAGAAAGCGAGCAGCGAAGGAAACCCCUCCCGGCUGCCGAGGCGGGCGGGGGAGGCGGAGCGGUGCGGCCGGGGGGCAGGCGCCCGCUGGUCGCGGCGGGGCCGUCCCCGCUGCCCGGCCCUGCAGGAGCGUGUGCGCGCAGCAAGGGGCUACGUCGGAGAGGUUGGCGCGCUUAAUGAACGGCGUUCACCUGGUCCUGCCGGUCCCUGCGUGCCUGUCCCUAACCAUCUCCCGCGCUGCCCCUGUGAACCUCACCGCGCUGGCUGCUCCAUCGAGGGAGAGCAGGAGAAAUCUUACUCCGCCCCAUGUAAUUUCUCUCGGUUUCACUCUUUUUAAACCUCCCAAAGUCUUGGUAUUUUUCAUACAUUCAUACUCCCGCUUGCUUUUCACUCUCGCUUGUUAUUUUAUUUAAUCAGCUGCUUGCUGAUUGGCCUCUUGAUCCUCUGGUUUUUGUCUGUCCUGUAAUGUUGCUGUUCCAAUAAAUGGCCUGUAUAGCUUGUAUAAGGAAAAAUAUUAGUUGCUGUUAUCAUUGAUCCAUAAUGUAAACAUAACCAUAGUGGGAAAAUAGUAAAAAGGUUUUCUUUGUUGUUUUUUUCCUCUCUUCUCCAA